rnacentral:lncRNA from 1 species
GUUAAAAAACAUGUUAUCAUCAUAGAAGAGAGAAUUUGUUUCUUGAAUAUUGUUCUUGUAUUUCUUUUUCUUGAUAUUUCCUGCUGAUACAAUCAUCCCCUUUUAUAGUGUUUAGAAAGGGAGCUGAUAUUCUACAACAUCAUGAGGAACCCUACAACAUCAUGAGGAUUCCUACAACAUCAUGAGGAUCCCUACAACAUCAUGAAGAUUCCUGCAACAUCAUGAGGAUCCCUAUAAUUAAGGGAUCCUUGAUUAUCUUUUGACUAACUUUAUCUUUUGACUAACUUUUUUAUUCUCAACACUCCCCCUCAAGUUGAGUGACGGGAUUUCCGAUACUCAACUUGGAAAGAACUUCUGAGAAACUUUUGAAAUCUACAGCUUUGGU